GGACCGUUAGCUCAGCGGUAAGAGCGCCCGGCUCAUAACCGGGUGGUCCGGGGUUCGAAUCCCUGACGGUCCA
rnacentral:tRNA from 1 species